CCUUUCGAAAGAAAGAUUAAUACCUGAUGGUAUGAUGAGAUUGCAUGAUAGCAUCAUUAAAGAUUUAUCGGUGUACGAUGGGGAUGCGUUCCAUUAGGUAGUAGGCGGGGUAACGGCCCACCUAGCCAACGAUGGAUAGGGGUUCUGAGAGGAAGGUCCCCCACAUUGGAACUGAGACACGGUCCAAACUCCUACGGGAGGCAGCAGUGAGGAAUAUUGGUCAAUGGACGAGAGUCUGAACCAGCCAAGUAGCGUGAAGGAUGAAGGUCCUACGGAUUGUAAACUUCUUUUAUAAGGGAAUAAACCCUCCCACGUGUGGGAGCUUGUAUGUACCUUAUGAAUAAGCAUCGGCUAACUCCGUGCCAGCAGCCGCGGUAAUACGGAGGAUGCGAGCGUUAUCCGGAUUUAUUGGGUUUAAAGGGAGCGCAGACGGGUCGUUAAGUCAGCUGUGAAAGUUUGGGGCUCAACCUUAAAAUUGCAGUUGAUACUGGCGUCCUUGAGUGCGGUUGAGGUGUGCGGAAUUCGUGGUGUAGCGGUGAAAUGCUUAGAUAUCACGAAGAACUCCGAUUGCGAAGGCAGCACACUAAUCCGUAACUGACGUUCAUGCUCGAAAGUGUGGGUAUC
rnacentral:rRNA from 1 species